rnacentral:rRNA from 1 species
CUACGUGCCAGCAGCCGCGGUAAUACGGAGGGUGCGAGCGUUAAUCGGAAUAACUGGGCGUAAAGGGCACGCAGGCGGCUAUUUAAGUGAGGUGUGAAAUCCCCGGGCUUAACCUGGGAAUUGCAUUUCAGACUGGGUAGCUAGAGUACUUUAGGGAGGGGUAGAAUUCCACGUGUAGCGGUGAAAUGCGUAGAGAUGUGGAGGAAUACCGAAGGCGAAGGCAGCCCCUUGGGAAUGUACUGACGCUCAUGUGCGAAAGCGUGGGGAGCAAACAGGAUUAGAUACCCUGGUAGUCCACGCUGUAAACGCUGUCGAUUUGGGGAUUGGGCUUUAAGCUUGGUGCCCGUAGCUAACGUGAUAAAUCGACCGCCUGGGGAGUACGGCCGCAAGGUUAAAACUCAAAUGAAUUGACGGGGGCCCGCACAAGCGGCGGAGCAUGCGGAUUAAUUCGAUGCAACGCGAAGAACCUUACCAAGGCUUGACAU